UCCCUUUAAUCCUCAUGAUGAUCCGCAGUAAUGGAUAAAAAUUCUAAGCAGGAACAGGAACAAAAGCCCUCAGGAAGCAAUUUUGAUUGCUGUGAGGAAGCACUUGAGGCUCUUGGCCCUAGGGAACUCUUCCCAGUUCAUUGGAGGCGUUCAGAUACCAUGGUGAUGGGGGACUUCAUGAAUAACGAGAUAGAUAAAUGGCCUCCCAGAUGACCCCGCUGCCCAGGCUUGUCAGUCAGACACGGAAAAUUUUCCAACUGAGGGAAGGCAUCGCUGCGCCAGAUUUAUCUCUGGUGUUGGAGGUGGGAGGCAGCAGCAGGAGACCUGUACAGCCUUCGCUACCGCUGUGCAUCUCCUGCACCGGGACAAAUGUGUGCUGUCCCCAGCUGGGCUGAGAUAAACAAUAUAUGCUUCCUGAAUUCCUCUUGGAAGAAGAGUCCCUUACAGCACAGCUAAAUUACACAAUGCCUUGAGUCUUAUGGUCUUACGGUCCCACAUGCAUCAUCUCGCCAGAAGACUAGGACUCACAUCUGAGUAUCCUUCAAUCAGCUUUCCCGGACCACAGUGAAGAAAUUGGGCCAGCCUCUGUGUUACCAUCACAUCCAUCCACCUCUGCACAUAGCAAUACCUGCAACAGCCUGCUCCAGCCCCUGAUCCUCUUCCAAGGUACCACAAGCAAGGGAAGGGCAAUCAGCAAUAUUUCCUUUGCCAAGCCUGAAGGAACCGGGAGCAGAUUGUGACAGCGACAGUCACGGCCUCCCAGGUUGCUCCCUCCUUAGGUCAUGUGCUGCCCCUGACCUGGGGCAAAGUCACGGCUAAGCCCUUCGUUCCCUUAUUAUUAAUUAAAACUUUGGAUGAAAUCCUCAGCUGGAGUAAAUGCUCAUUGCUCCUGGCCCUCACCCACUGGUUUUUGAAAGCAUACAGAAGUAGCCACAAUUCUGUCAUUAAAACUCAACUGGGAUCACACUUUUGUUGUCAAAUAAAUAAGUAUCACUGCAUCCCAUUUAGCUCUGCUAAUGCCACAUUAGAAAUAGCAUGUGUUUUAACAAAACCAUGCUUUCCCCUUUUUCAAAAAGCCAUAAAUGAAGCAUUAAAAGUCCCAAUCCAUCACGGUGACAUCAGAUCAGUGGACCGUGACUUUUAUGACAUCAGAGCAAUUGAUUAUAUGACUCUUUUAUGUGUAGCCCGCUAUGCAGAGAUUGCUCUUCUCUCCAUAUAUUACAUCCUAACAUCCUGGAAUAAUCUCUAGAGAUAAAAGGGAAUCACUGUGAAGCGGUGAAGUACAGUAGUUACAGAAUUGCCAUAAAGCUGUCAUAAAAAUUGUAGAAACAGAAAUGCCUUUAAAGAUGGCACUGUUCCAUUAUGGGUCCCUAGCUAACAGUCUACAGUUGCCCUAUGCACACCUCACUAUAUUUACUGCUUCUGGAUAUUCCUGUGCCUUUUUCCCAGAAGCUUCUGUGGCUACCAAGAUGUGCAAGGCUGUCUGCAUGCAUACUGCAAGUUCCUCCAUCCUGUUACAUCAUCGCUAACAGAACUGGUGCUUUUGCAAUAGGCUACAGGCAAGGCUUCAAAAUAGCUUCAAAUAGCCAGGAAGAAGCUAACAGCGAAUGGAAGGUGUGAGCUGUUGGUUGCCAUGAAAUUGCUGAAAGACAGAUAUUCUGUGGUGCUUAUAAAGAAAAGUGCUGUUAAAAUUAAAUUUGAGGUACAUAAUAAAUAGUUCUUUCUUGCUGAAAGGUGACAUGGAAAGCUCUGUCUGAUUUUUUUA
ensembl:lncRNA